rnacentral:rRNA from 1 species
AUACGGAAGAUCCAAGCGUUAUCCGGAUUUAUUGGGUUUAAAGGGUGCGUAGGCGGCUUUUUAAGUCAGUGGUGAAAUCCUGCCGCUUAACGGUAGAAUUGCCAUUGAUACUGAAGAGCUUGAGUACAAUUGAGGUAAGCGGAAUGUGUAGUGUAGCGGUGAAAUGCUUAGAUAUUACACAGAACACCGAUUGCGAAGGCAGCUUACUAAACUGUCACUGACGCUGAUGCACGAAAGCGUGGGGAGC